rnacentral:rRNA from 1 species
GAUGAACGCUAGCUACAGGCUUAACACAUGCAAGUCGAGGGGUAGCAGGAGAGAAGCUUGUCUUUUCUUGCUGACGACCGGCGCACGGGUGAGUAACGCGUAUCCAACCUUCCCCGCAGUAGGGAACAGCCCGGCGAAAGUCGGAUUAAUGCCCUAUGUUCUCCUUUGCAGGCAUCUAACGAGGAGCAAAGAUUCAUCGCUGCGGGAUGGGGAUGCGUCUGAUUAGCUUGUCGGCGGGGUAACGGCCCACCGAGGCGACGAUCAGUAGCCGGACUGAGAGGUUGGCCGGCCACAUUGGGACUGAGACACGGCCCAGACUCC